ensembl:lncRNA
UUUACUAGCAAGGUGUACCUAAUAAAGUGGCCAGUGAGUGUAUAUGUUAUAUGUGUUUAUGUUAAUUAUCAAAAGCCUUAUUGAGUUGAAGCAGGAAAAGCAGUCUUCCUUAACAGAGCUUCACCAACCCUGAGAACCAAAACCUUCUACUCAUCCAGCGAAUCGGAGGGUGAGGAUGAGCAGGGGAAGAAGUUUAAGAUUAAGAUCAAACCCUUGGCGCCGGACAAUGGUACCGUGCCCACCAUGGAUGAACUGAAAGCCUCUGUGGGCACCUUGGCCAUCUCCCCAUCCCCACUGAGGAGAAGUCCGGUAAGUGUGAUGGUCUUCUGAUAUCUUGAGACACUGACGCAUGACGUGAAACAUAUUUUUGAGUUUUACUGUGCGGUUGCAUUAGCAUGUUUUAUUAUUGUCUAUGUGCAUUAAGACUGGCUUGAAUUCCAUUUUACAGGCUUUGAAUACUCUGUGGUAAUUCUCAAUAUGCAAAUGUAUGGAGAGGAAUUUGUGCCAAAUUGAAUUUCUCAUAGAAGUUUUUCUUUUCAUUAUUGCCGCUAUAGGACAGUAAUGUGUGUGUGUGCUUUGUAUUUCACUGUUUUCACUGUGACAAUUGCAUUUUAAUGGAAAUACGUUUAAAACACUGCACAAUACAAAGCAAUAUAGCCUUUAUUACACUUCAAAGUGCAUAGUAUUCAGAUUUGAUAUGAAUUCAGUUUACAAUGCAAAUGAUUUUUUAGUAAAGUGACAUGUAAACAAUGUAACAGCGUAACAUUUGGGAGCGAUGAGGAGGCGGACGCAUACGCAGAGAUAAGCGAGGUUUAUUCGGGGCAAAUCCAGAUUCGGGGUCAGAACAGUCCAGGGUCAAGGAGCCAACACGGAGAGAUCGGGGUACAGACAUUAAAAACAGAUACACAGAACUACACGUCAAACAAAGACCAGCAAGGGACUAGGUGAAAAAACACAGGGCUUAAAUACUACAGGGAUAAUGAUGGUUAACAAGACACAGGUGGAAAACAGGUGGUUACAAUCAGGGGCGGAGUCAAGAAACAAGGGGGCAGGACAGGGAAGAAUCAAAACAAAGAAAGCACAU